CAGUCGUGCUGGCGCGAAAUCAACCCUCUCGUCGGGAGACCACAUGUUGUGACGAGCCUCAAAACCGCCACGGCGUGUGAUAUCAAGAUGAGGGGGAGCACUUUCUGGGCGGCGCGUCAAGAUCGGUUCGUGGCGGUGGAGAAGAGGCGUUGGACGGACUUGUCAUGGCCGGCGCCGGAUACACUGCUGGGGACGGAGGAAUGGCGGCGUGUGCCCUCCGUGUGGGGGCUGGGUUGACUGGUGUGUGUGUGGGAUGCGUUGUGGGCAGCGUGCUGAGCAGCGACGUACUCGGUGGACAGU
rnacentral:rRNA from 1 species